rnacentral:lncRNA from 1 species
UUCUCUCCAGCUUCAAGAACAUCUGCCAGGACUGGCGGCUAUGGCAUUUUGUCAGCUGGGUGUGGUACAAACGGGAAGUGACCCUGCCGGAGUGGUGGACCCAGGACCUGCACACAAGAGUGGUGCUGAGGAUUGGCAGUGCCCACUCCUAUGCCAUUGUGGUUCCCAUCCACCUACGAAGCUAAAAUCCAGACUGUCCGAGCAGGCACCGGCUCCCAAAAUCCCCUGUGUGAUUGACCUCGCUUGGAGAAGAGGGAUCUUGCCUAAGGUCACACAGCGCAGGGUGGCAAUCCUAUCCCUUCCCCAUGGAGCUGCCCUCACUCCAGCUCCCCUUGGUACACAUCGUGCUCAAGGAACAGGCAGCUUACCAGCAUUGCUGCCACCUGCUAUAGGUGACUAAGAAGUGGGCCCAGGACACCUUCAGACUCAAUCCCAAUAAUGAGGACAUCCACACAGCCAGCGAGCGCCGCCUGAAGGUACGACCCUUGCAGACCCACCGCUUUCCUGGCCUCCCAUCUCCACCUGGCCCUGGGCCACUUUAAGCAUUAGCACCAUCGUUCUGUUUACUUCGACACUGGCAGACAGCAGUGGAGACCUCAGGACAUGGGCCAGUUGUGGUGGCUCAUGCCCAUAAUCCUAGCACUUUGGGAGGCUGAGGUGGGAGGAUCACUUGAGGCCAAUAGUUUGAGACCAGCCUGGGCAACAUAACAAGGUUCCAUAACUACAAAAAAUUGAAAGAAAAGAAGAAAAAAAGAGCAACAGGGCUAAGCAGAAUUGGUGAGAGAUUUGGGCAAGACCUGGGGCCCUGGGGUAGAGAGGGAGGUUGGCAGGGCUGAUGAAUGCUGCCCUGCCUGGAUUGACUCUCCUGGGCAGAAUAGGAUGUGACCCUGGGCCUCCCUUUCACCUCCAAGAGCUCAUUGGCGAAAAUUGCUGGAAGUCACAUGGGAUGCAACUGGAAUGACCAGGUGCCUCUAGCCCCUCUCCCCCCCUGCUCCGUGCUGUCCCAACCUUGGGGAGCCCAUGGGGCAGUUAGAGCUCAGCAGGGUCCUGGCUCCCCAGGGAAUCAGCUCGUCGACCUCCCUGAGCACCACCUCCUCCUGGCACAGGUGGUCACGGACCUCAGGCUGUGGAUGCGGCAGACCUGCUCCAUGCUCUCCGGCCACCUCUGGGAGCUCAUCAGGACCAUGGUGGAUCCGACAGAGAGUUUUGCUCUUGUCACCCAGGCUGAAGUGCAGUGGCACUCGGCUCAGUGCAACCUCUGCCUCCCGGAUUCAAGCAAUUCUCCUGCCUCAGCCUCCACAAUAGCUGGGACUACAGGGAACAUGGCAUCCUCUUCCCAGGGUACACCCACCUGUAGAGGGCCCAGCCCCUUCACUGGAGCCGCUGGAUUCUGA